rnacentral:rRNA from 1 species
AUUGAACGCUGGCGGCAGGCCUAACACAUGCAAGUCGAACGAGUGGCGGACGGGUGAGUAAUGUCUGGGAAACUGCCCGAUGGAGGGGGAUAACUACUGGAAACGGUAGCUAAUACCGCAUACCCUCGGAUGUGCCCAGAGGGGAUUAGCUGGUAGGUGGGGUAACGGCUCACCUAGGCGACGAUCCCUAGCUGGUCGGAGAGGAUGACCGGCCAAAUGGGAACUGAGACACGGUCCAGAUUCCAACGGGAGGCAGAAGUGGGAAAUAUUGCACAAUGGGCGCAAGCCUGAUGCAGACAUGCCGCGUGUAUGAAGAAGGCCUUCGGGUGGUAAAGUACUUUCAGCGGGGAGGCGUUACCCGCAGAAGAAGCACCGGCUAACUCCGUGCCAGCAGCCGCGGUAAUAC